rnacentral:rRNA from 1 species
GGCAUGGCGGCAGCUACACAUGCAAGUCGAACGGUAGCACAGAGAGCUUGCUCUCGGGUGACGAGUGGCGGACGGGUGAGUAAUGUCUGGGAAACUGCCUGAUGGAGGGGGAUAACUACUGGAAACGGUAGCUAAUACCGCAUAACGUCGCAAGACCAAAGAGGGGGACCUUCGGGCCUCUUGCCAUCAGAUGUGCCCAGAUGGGAUUAGCUUGUAGGCGGGGUAAUGGCCCACCUAGGCGACGAUCCCUAGCUGGUCUGAGAGGAUGACCAGCCACACUGGAACUGAGACACGGUCCAGACUCCUACGGGAGGCAGCAGUGGGGAAUAUUGCUCUAUGGGCGCAAGCCUGAUGC